rnacentral:lncRNA from 1 species
GGAGAAGUAGGACUAUAACUGGGAGAAGUGGGGCUAUAACUAGGUGAUGUGGGGCUAUAACCAGGAGAGGUGGGGCUGUACGCAGGUGAUGUGGGACUGUAUGAAGGUGAUGUAGGACUGUAUGAAGGUGAUGUUGGGCUAUAUGAAGGAGAAGUAGGACUAUAUGAAGGUGAUGUUGGGCUAUAUGAAGGAGAAGUAGGACUGUAUGCAGGGGAUGUUGGGCUGUAGGCAGGUGAAGUUGGGCUGUAGGCAGGUGAGGUGGGGCUGUAGCUUGGUGAGGUGGGGCUAUAGCUUGGGGAGGUGGGGCUGUAGCUUGGAGAAGUUGGGCUGUAGCUUGGUGAG